UUAGUUACCAGCANNUUAUGNUGGGCACUNUAAGGAGACNNCCGGUGNCAAACCGGAGGAAGGUGGGGAGGACGUCAAGUCAUCAUGGCCCUUACGGCCAGGGCUACACACGUGCUACAAUGGUCGGUACAAAGGGUUGCCAAGCCGCGAGGUGGAGCUAAUCCCAUAAAACCGAUNGUAGUCCGGAUCGCAGUCUGCAACUCGANUGCGNGAAGUNGGAAUCGCUAGUAAUCGUGAAUCAGAACGUCACGGUGAAUACGUUCCCGGGCCUUGUACACACCGCCCGUCACACCAUGGGAGUGGGUUGCUCCCAGAAGUAGCUAGUNUAACCUU
rnacentral:rRNA from 1 species